CCUACCACUUUACAGCCAAACACCUUCGAGUUGAUCUACAGGUAGAGGGGAAGAGGAACAGAACAUGUCUCCACUUCGGCCUCUCGAAACAAGAUGCUGUACCAGUGUUGCCUGAGAGUGUAGGACAGACAUACUUCUUCACAGCCGUUUAUCAGCUCCCUCGUGUCAACAUCAACAAUGCAAGGAAUCUGUAUACAAGAGAAUCAGCACAUCACUUUAAAACAGGUCGGCACAUACUACAAGUCUCAGAACUAUCCCUGGAUUUAAGGUG